rnacentral:rRNA from 1 species
ACGGGGUAGGAAUGGUCGGUGACGUACCCUUCGGACGGGGAUAGCCACGGGAAACUGUGGGUAAUAUUCGAUAAACUCCCGGAACGUAAUGGUUUUGGGAGCAAAGGUGAGAUUCCACCGGAGGAGCGGCUGACUUAGUAUUAGCUAGUUGGUGAGGUAAAAGCUCACCAAGGCUUCGAUGCUUAGGGGGUGUGAGAGCAUGACCCCCACCACUGGGACUGAGAUACUGCCCAGACACCUACGGGUGGCUGCAGUCGAGGAUCUUCGGCAAUGGGCGCAAGCCUGACCGAGCGACGCCGCGUGUGGGAUGAAGGCCCUUGGGUUGUAAACCACUGUCGAGGGGAAUGAAAUGCGUGUGGGUACUCCCAUGCGUUUGACGGAACCCUGGAGGAAGCACGGGCUAAGUUCGUGCCAGCAGCCGCGGUAAUACGAACUGUGCGAACGUUAUUCGGAAUCACUGGGCUUAAAGGGUGCGUAGGCGGCUUGUUAAGCAGGGUGUGAAAGCCCUCGGCUCAACCGAGGAAUAGCGCUCUGAACUGGCGAGCUGGAGUGAUGCAGGGGUGCGCGGAACUUCCAGUGGAGCGGUGAAA